rnacentral:tRNA from 1 species
AAAAAAGCCGGAAUAGCUCAGUUGGUAGAGCAGAGGAC